UCGAAUAUAAAGGAAUCGAACCCAAAGGGAAAACCGAAAUGAUCAGAUGGACUGUACAGGGGAAAACAGAGAGGGAAUUAGGAAGGGGAAGCGUCGUCUCUCUCCGGCAAUCGAUUUAGCUGCGGAGUUUCUUGUGUUGAGGAACUGUUGAGUCUUCGAAAUUUGCUUGGUGUCGGAAGAUAGAGUUAAUUAUGCCAUUGCUUGAAACGUUACCCAUAGAAGAACGAUUAUCGUCGUACGUACCUGAGGUACUUCAGACAAGACAUAGAUUUUUCCCAGUUUGGCAUCUCGACCCAAAUAAAGUCCCGAUCAAAGCUUAAGGGAAGAACAAUGCAAAUUGCAGAAAAAAUACUCUCUGCUUUAUUAAUUUUCUUGGUUUUUCUUGUAUAGAUACAGGAAGUAACCGAUACGAAGGUUGAUUCUACAAACAUGGGAAGACAAUGAGGGGAGGAAAGUAGUUCCUAACGUUGGGGCCAAGUCUUCCUUAUUAACAGCAUGUGACGGUUACUUGUGACUUUAACCACAAGUACCUUUGGUUUGGUUUUCUCUUCUGUACAGAUUGAACCAAUCGGCAUGCGUCAAACCCGGUUCACUUGGCAUCACAAUCAACUGAUGCAAUGGAAGAGAGUUAGUAAGGUAGGUACGGUGGCAGAUUCGGUGCAAUUACGGCACAGUGUGUUGCCCGAAAUGCGAGACUACCGAAUGCAGGUAGAAGAUGAUAAGGCUUGAAUGGUGUUUAGUGUUUUAGGUAUGGAUCUUCUUCUUUAGAUUGUGUAUAUUAAAGUGGCCAUGGCUUUAGGUGAGGCAAUGCUCAGCACGUGGUUAAUGAAUUGGGUAAAGCCUGUUUGGUGCAGUGCAAAUAUAUAUAUAUAUAUAUGGUAGAGAUUUUCUUGUUCUAUAAAAAAUUAUAU